ACCGUCCCUUUAAACGAGGGCUGGCGGCCUUUGGAGGAAAUAAAUUACACCGUUAAAAGACCUGAAGCUUGGCGUGGGGUGCGGCAUGUAGCUCUAGGGUGCAGGUCUCAAACAUUGUCCAUCAUUUUGCUCCCAACUCUCCUGCAUCAUAUGGUGGAAACCCCUCUUAGUUUUACAGCUGUGCCCUUGGGCUGGGAGUGGUGCCUGGAAUGCUCUGAGUGCUGUGGCACUGAGAAAUGGUGCUGCUGUGGAGAGACGGGAAGGCAAAUAUUGUUGAUGAAGGUUCAGUCAGAGACCAAGAUUUGAAGGAGUCAGAAGAACCUGUUAAUCUUUUCAUUAGAGGCUGAACAGCUUAGUGCCAGCAAAGUAGGCAGUUCCAGCUCAAGGCACUGUUCACUGUGGUACGUCAUCAGGCAAAAUUAAAGAUGGUGUUGUGUCUAUUCUGAGCUGCUUGCUGGAGAAUUACUUCCAAUACACCUCUUUAGGAGCAGAUUGUGAGUCUGCUUCCCAAAAGGUUCCAGACUUUUAAUGGAACAUGGUUUCUAGACUUAGGAUAUAGGAGAUCAAACAGGUCGGAGUCCCCUCUUAGCUGUAAAUACUGCUAUCUGUUACUGCAAAUACAAGACUUUGCAUGUCUUAACUUCCAGACCUGUUUUCUGCUAUUGCUUUGUAGUGCUA